rnacentral:rRNA from 1 species
GAUGAACGCUGGCGGCGUGUCUAAGGCAUGCAAGUCGAAUGGUCUGGUUUCCAGACCAUGGCAAACGGGAGAGUAACACGAUUGGUAAUUUACCCCAAAGACGAGAAUAAUCCAGAGAAAUCUGGAAUAAUACUCGAUAUUAUGCAUUGUCGCCUGAUAAUGCAUCAAAGCUCCGGCGCUUUGGGAGAAGCCUAUGGUCUAUCAGCUAGUUGGUGAGGUAAUGGCCCACCAAGGCGACGACGGAUAGCGGGUGUGAGAGCAUGACCCGUCUCACUGGGACUGAGACACUGCCCAGACUCCUACGGGAGGCAGCAGUAGGGAAUAUUGCGCAAUGGGCGAAGCCUGACGCAGCGACGCCGCGUGAGCGAAGAAGGCCUUCGGGUCGUAAAGCUCUGUCCUUGGGGAGAAGGCGAAAGCUUGACGGUACCCAAGAACGAAGCCCGGCUAACUACGUCGCCAGCAGCCGCGGUAACUCAGUACUACG